CGCCCGCGUUUCCUCGCGACUUUUGGUCCCUCCCUCCCGCCGUCCUUCUUGCCCCGCCUCCCCCGCCCUCCGGGUUGUCAGGGCAACCCGAGCGACGCCUGCCCCGGAGGAGAGGCGUUAGGAAGGGCAGCGGCGGCGGCGCCGGGGCUCGGCCCGUGGGGGCCCAGGAGCAUCUGACCAUGGAGCCCCAGACAAUCACACCAUCCUCAAGGCCUCAUCCACCUGUUGUGGGCAAAGUGACUCAUCAUAGCAUUGAAUUGUACUGGGAUCUGGAGAAGAAAGCGAAACGCCAGGGUCCUCAGGAGCAGUGGUGCAGGUUCGCAAUCGAAGAGGAAGACCCCAAAAUGCACACUUACAGGAUCAUUUAUACGGGAUAUGCAACCAAGCAUGUUGUGGAAGGUCUGGAACCACGGACACUGUAUAGAUUUCGGCUGAAGGUCACCAGCCCCUCUGGAGAAUAUGAGUACAGCCCAGUGGUCUCGGUAUCUACGACCAGAGAGCCCAUAAGUAGCGAGCACUUUCAUAGGGCUGUCAACGUGAAUGAUGAAGAUUUGCUGGUUCAAAUACUUCAAGGAGGAAAUGUUAAGGUUGAUGUUCCCAAUAAGUUUGGCUUUACGGCUCUGAUGGUUGCUGCCCAGAAAGGAUUCACCAGGCUUGUUAAAAUCCUCGUUUCUAAUGGCACUGACGUGAAUCUGAAGAAUGGAAGUGGCAAGGACAGUCUAAUGCUUGCAUGCUAUGCGGGACACCUAGAGGUUGUGAAAUAUCUCCGAAGACAUGGUGCUUCUUGGGAAACGAGAGACCUCGGAGGCUGUACGGCUCUGCACUGGGCUGCAGAUGGAGGCCACUGCAAUGUGAUUGAGUGGAUGCUAAAGGACGGCUGUGAGGUGGAUGCUGUGGACACUGGCUCAGGGUGGACCCCACUCAUGCGAGUCUCCGCAGUCUCAGGAAACCAGGGGGUCGCCUCUCUGCUAAUUGACGCCGGAGCAGACGUGAAUGUGAGAGAUAAAGAUGGAAAGACCCCUCUAAUGGUGGCCGUGUUAAAUAAUCACGAAGAGUUAGUCCAGUUACUUCUUGACAAAGGGGCAGACGCAAGUGUAAAAAAUGAGUUUGGCAAAGGUGUCCUAGAAAUGGCCAGAGUUUUUGACAGACAGAAUGUGGUCUGCUUAUUAGAAGAAAGGAAAAAAAAGCAAAUGCCAAGGAAGUCGUCUCUCCGCACACCUGGGCACCACUCACCGCCAAGCCAAGUGAGACAAAGCAGAAGACCGGCUGUGACUCACAUGGCGGCUGUUCCAUCAGUCCAGGCCCCCAAGAGGAACCAAAGCUCACCCAGAUUGGAUGUGAUGUGCCCCAUCUCAGACUCUCUGAAUUGGAAUCUCCAGGGAAAGGACACGAGCAAUGGAUUUUAAUCAACAUCCCAGUUCUUUAUGAAGUUGGAUGCUAUUUUAAAAAAAAAUGUGUAAAUAGAUUUCCAUUACACUCAGAUUAUUAUUCCAGAGCCUGAGAUGAACUCUCUACCCAGCAGCAGUAGGUGCAGAAAAACUCCCCUGGUGCUUCUGAAGUGGCUUAUAAUACGCAGACGUGUGCUGAUCUAGCUGACCUCCCACUGAAGUGCAUGUUCUGCGUGGAUUGCAAACCUAAUAUACAAGUUAGGGCAGAUUCAACGCCAGGCACAGCGAAGACAUUCUACAACGCUCCCUGCCUGUGUGCACAAUUGUAGGUGGUCACACACGCCUGUGGGCUCUUACUCUUUUCAUCCCUUUACCAUCCUUUUCUUAGCCCCCACUUUGCCUUUCAUGCUCAGGUUGUGGUUCAGGAGAGCUUGGCAGCAGUCAGCUACCAGCUAGAUGCAUACACUGAAUUAUUUUCCUCUAAAAUAGCUGACGAGAUGAAGAGGAAAUUAAAGUUUGUUUCCUUGAUCAAGGCUGAGGAGUUGGGUCAAGAAGCUUGAAUUCUGAGGGUCAUUUUACUGUGAAGGAAAUGGUGCAUUGGAAAGCACACUGUGGACGAGAGGAGGAGUUGAGGGAACUGUCCUUGGAUUUUAAAAAUCAAAGUUUCAAGGAAAGACCAAACAUGUUCUGUAAAGAACUAACUUACCUUUUAGAUGCGAGGUUGACCAAUAUCGUGUUUACAAUAGUGUUUUCCUUCUGGGAGGUUGAGAUGGUAAGUUUGUGUGUUUGUCACGCUGUGUGGGACAGGGCAGGGGACUCAACAGCACAGGAUGUCAGUGGACUCGAUCUGUGCUGCCAAACAAGAGCCACCGCCACAUAUUUGCCACACCUGCAUGGAAUUAAUUCCAGUUCCCUAUGUGUGAUGUGAGAGAAAGCGCGAGCUUAAUCCAUAUCAUAUGUCUCGGAAAAGCUCCAGACAGACACCAGCCUGGAGUGAGAAAUGUGGAUUUUUCAGUUACUAAUGUUUAAAGGGUAACAUUUCCUUAGUUUCAUAAAACAGAAUGAAGGCCUUUUUGGGGCCUGCUUUAAAGGAAAUCUUGAAGCAGUCACUUCUAUAGGCAUUCACGGCUGGUAGGAAAAAAGAUACCAGCAAAUAGAAAUGGCUUUCCUCAGAUCACUUGGUCUGUCAGAGACAGUCCCAGUUUGACAUGGUACCCAGGCAAGUUGUUUAGAGGGAGACAGAAAGAGCCUCAGUGUAAAGAAACCCAUGGGGAAGGGGCUUACAGGCUCUGUGCACAUCUGAAAUUUGCAUGCAAAUUACUGAGUACUGGUGCAUUUUCUGAGGGUUCGUAGCUUUCAUCAGAUUCUCAAAUAAGUUCAUAGCCAAGAAAAAUUUAGGACAUGCCCACCACCUUCCAGCAAUGUAAAUCCAAGGCAGGUUAGAAAACAUAUGUAAAAGAUGGAAUUGUCAGCAGCUAACCAAAUAAACAGAAGGAAUUAUAGGUGGAUCUUAACUGAAACUGAAACAGGAGAGGACUUUACAAGCACAAAAGGAAUGGGAGAAUUCACAAAAGAAAAGAUAAACAGAUUUAAUAUUUAAAACUGGAAUUCCUUUUAUACCAAAAAAUGUCAUGAGUAAAAAGACCAUUUAGGGAAAACGUUUACAAUAAAUUACCGGAAAAGAGUAAAUAUUCUUAAUCUAUUAAGAAAAUAAACUCUUACAAACCAGGAAGAAAAACUCCAUCUCUCAAAUAGAAAAAAAUAGGCAAAUAGGAACAGAUGAUUCACAGAACAUAUACGGUUGAUAGCAGCUGUGCGCUGGAGCUGGCUGGUACUAGCUCACCUCAGCCAAUUCUCUGUUCCUCGUUCAGUGACAUCACGUUAACGGCUUGCACUUGGCCAUGGUGGGAGUUGUUACAGCAGAGAAAUCAUCUACAAAUCAAGGCUUUUUCUUGACUGCCAAUUUACCAGCAAACCAUUGGUUAAUAGAUGUAUAAAAAGCAGUUCAAGUGUACCAGUAAUCAAAGAAAUACAAAAAGAAAUGAGGUCUGGACAAGAUGGAAUAAGCACAUUUCACCCUAUUUCUCCUGCAAAUUACAAUAAAAAAAAUCUGCAGACAAUUCAUAAAGCAACUGACAGAGCCUCUGAAAGUUGGAGAAAACGUAAGUAGACUGGCUAGGGACCUCAGAAUUCAAGGAAUUACCCAGUAGUUCUUGUUUUUUUUUUUUUUUUUUUCACUUUUGUCUUUUCUAUAUCUUGGUCUGGGCUCUGGAGAGGCCUCCAAUCUGGAAAUGCCAGUGGCACCAGACAAACAAAGGCCCAAGAAUAACCCUCUUAUCUCUAGCCAAAAGAUGGGAACAAGGGCAACUAGUAAGAGAGAAACAUUUGACCCCACCUGACCUUACUCCAGCUCAGGUGAACACCAGAAGAAUGCCACGCCCCUGCCCCUGCUCCCUGGGCAUCACUGCCUUGCGGUGAUAGAGCCCUGCCUUCCAUCCUCCCUUGCAAUAACAGGCCACACCCUGGAACAGACUGUGGCAGGACUUCCAGUGUGGGCAGUGAUUUCUUAUCGCUAUGGAGUCCAGGAGGAAGUGGAACAUUUUUCAGUCAUUGAAAGAAGAAUACAGUCAAGCCAGAAUUCUAUAUCCAGUGAAAAUAUCCUUUAGGAAGAAAGGUAAAACAGACAUUUUCAGAUGAAAGAAAACUAAGAGAAUUUGUCACCAGCAGACCUGCUUUAACAGAAUAGCCAAAGGAAACUUUUCAGACAGAAAGGAAAUGAUAACAGAAAGGGUGAAUAUUUGAGUAGAUGUAAUAGGCUGUUCUUAAAUUUUCAAAAUUUUGCUUGAUGGUUGAAAGCAAAAAUUACAACAUCUGAAGUGGUUCUCAAUGUACAUAAAGGUAACAUUUAAGACAUCUACAUCAUAAAGGGAGAAGCAUAAAGGGACCUAAAAGAUGGUAAAAUUUUCACAUUCCACUUGAAGUGAUAAAAUAUUGAUACUAGUGGACUGUGAUGAAUUGUGCACAUAUAUUGUAAUCUUUAGAGCAGCAGUUUUCAAUCAGGGGAUUUUUGUCCUCCAGGGACAUCUGGCAAUAUUUAGAGACAUGAUCACACAUGCUACUGCCAUCUAGUUGGUAGAAACCAAGAUGCUGCUAAAUGUUCUUAUGCAGGACAAUCUCAUAUAAGAAAGAGUUAUCCAGCCCCAAAUGUCAACAAUGCCAAGAUUGAGAAGCCUUGCCCCAGAGCAACCAUAUAAAAAACAAUACAAAGGCAGACACUCAAAAACACAAUAGAUAACUCAAUAAGGAAUACUAAAGAAUGUUCAACAACCCAGAGAAAAGCCAGCCCUGGUGGUCUAAUGUUUAAGAUUUGGCACUCUCACUGCUGUGGCCUGGGUUUGUUUCCCAGUCAGGGAACCACACCAACUGGCUGUCAGGUGU